rnacentral:lncRNA from 1 species
UACUCCCUUAUGUUUCCCUUGCCUUUAUACCUCAUGGAAACAAGUUUACUCAAAAGAGUACUUGUUUCCGCCUUUUUGUUUUGUGCAAAACGCUUUUUAAGGUUUUCAAGGAAAACUUUGGCAUUAUUUUCAUCAUUCAUAGUACCCCUGAAUGAUUCUAGAAUUGCACGUUUCAUGAUCAUUAGACUCAUGCGAUUUGAGCGUUCC